rnacentral:misc_RNA from 1 species
GGUACUUCUCAAAAAAUGGUUGCUGAUGUAGAAUGACUUGGGAAAAUCUUGAAUUCUUUAGCAAUUAGGAUUAGGAUUUGUAAAACUCAAGAAAUUAGGGCUCAAGGAUAAAAAUCAAAGAGAACGUUAGGCAAAAAAAAUAAAACUUCUAGUGGGAUACUAGCCUCAUAUUAGCAGGGAUCUAUGAUUCAACCCUAUCAAAAAAAGCCUCACAAUUUUGAAAAUUAGAAAUGCCCACACAAUGCAAAGAAGCCAUUGGUGCCAGAAAUUAUUCAUUGACAAAAAUCGAUUAAUAAACCUUUCAAGUUUAGGUAUUUAUAGGCUCAAAAUAGUUAUAAGCCUACAAAUACAUGAACUUCACAGAACUAAAACUAACUACCAGAUUUAUUAGGACCCAUGCUCAGACUCAAAAUUAAAUAGACUUAAACUAAGACCCAAGACACUGUGGGCUGUCGGCUGCCUAUUCCAGAAAAAUAGUAAAAUUACUUAAAUGCACCUGAUUAGUGAAAUUUCCCUCGUGCUGUACUGUAAACAGUAAUCUGCCAUAAUGUUUAAUAAUCUAAUUCCCAAAUGGAGUUCCUUUACUGUUAGCAUCAUUUGCAUUAUUCAGAUCAUGUUUCUUUUGGGAUGCUGAUUACUUAUGUGGGAGAUUUCCUUGAUUGAUAUGGAUCUCUUCAUUUCAUGUGCUUAGUGCUCUUUCAAUCAUUGAUUAUGAUGCGUUACUUCCACCCCUCCCUCUUCUUUUUCCUUUUUAUCUUUAAAAGUCCUUGUUUAGCUUUGAGAAGGUUGCUUUAUAUUGAUCAUGAUAUGUAUUGGCAUAUCGAUGUUGCUUAUGUUAUUGGGCCAAUGCCUUUUUCCAG